rnacentral:rRNA from 1 species
GAUGAACGCUGGCGGCGUGCCUAAUACAUGCAAGUCGAGCGAACAGACGAGGAGCUUGCUCCUCUGACGUUAGCGGCGGACGGGUGAGUAACACGUGGAUAACCUACCUAUAAUACUGGGAUAACUUCGGGAAACCGGAGCUAAUACCGGAUAAUAUAUUGAACCGCAUGGUUCAAUAGUGAAAGACGGUUUUGCUGUCACUUAUAGAUGGAUCCGCGCCGCAUUAGCUAGUUGGUAAGGUAACGGCUUACCAAGGCAACGAUGCGUAGCCGACCUGAGAGGGUGAUCGGCCACACUGGAACUGAGACACGGUCCAGACUCCUACGGGAGGCAGCAGUAGGGAAUCUUCCGCAAUGGGCGAAAGCCUGACGGAGCAACGCCGCGUGAGUGAUGAAGGUCUUCGGAUCGUAAAACUCUGUUAUUAGGGAAGAACAGAUGUGUAAGUAACUAUGCACGUCUUGACGGUACCUAAUCAGAAAGCCACGGCUAACUACGUG